rnacentral:lncRNA from 1 species
ACUAAAUUUAAUAUACUACAAAAAUAAAAAAAAAUCAAAAUAAAUGAAGAUGACUUACAAAAUUGAGAAAACUACAAGAAUUAUAUAGAGAAAAAGAAAACAAGAAGCACACCACGAAUGAUGGGCAUAGGGGGGUCAACUAGAAGAGGUGGAAGAGCGGACCAUAGUGGGGAGGGGAAAGAUGAGAAGAAGGAACAAUGGGACCAC